rnacentral:rRNA from 1 species
GGGUCAGUAGGUUGGUCGUGCCACCGGUACGUACUGGUCUCACUGAUUCCUCCUUCCUGAAGAACCGUAAUGCCAUUAAUGUGGUGUUGCGGGGAAACAGGACUGUUACUUUGAAAAAAUUAGAGUGUUUAAAGCAAGCUAACGCUUGAAUACAUUAGCAUGGAAUAAUGAAAUAGGACGAUCGAUCCUAUUUUGUUAGUUUCUAGGAUUGACGUA